rnacentral:tRNA from 1 species
UUACUGGUAGUCCAGUGGUUAAGACUCUGCAUUUCCACUGCAGGAGCUGCAGGUUUGAUUCCUGUUCGGGAAA